UCCUCUUUAGCUCAGCGGUAGAGCGGUUGACUGUUAAUCAAUUGGUCCCUGGUUCGAUCCCAGGAAGGGGAG
rnacentral:tRNA from 2 species